rfam:Bacillus sp. FJAT-27264 scaffold3, whole genome shotgun sequence.
GGAGCAGCUUCUGGAGAGACCGCGGGCAAUCUGCGGCGCCGAAGGGUUCACAAUCUCAGGCAAAAGGACAGAAGAGUACUG